CGCCUCUUGCAAAAUUAACAAAUAAGAGGUCCCGCCUGCCCUGUGACUAUAUGUUUAACGGCCGCGGUAUUUUGACCGUGCAAAGGUAGCGCAAUCACUUGUCUUUUAAAUGGAGACCCGUAUGAAUGGCACAACGAGGGCUUAACUGUCUCUUCUUUCAAGUCAAUGAAAUUGAUCUCCCCGUGCAGAAGCGGGGAUACGCACAUAAGACGAGAAGACCCUGUGGAGCUUUAGGCACCAAGGCAGACUAUGUUAAGUACCCCAGACUAAUGAUUAAAACAACUUAUAACCUGCCCUAAUGCCUUUGGUUGGGGCGACCGCGGGGAAAUGAAAAACCCCCAUGUGGAAUGGGAACACCUCCUAAAACUAAGAGCCCCCGCUCUAAUAAACAGAACUUCUGACUAACAAGAUCCGGCAACGCCGAUCAACGGACCGAGUUACCCCAGGGAUAACAGCGCAAUCCCCUUUUAGAGCCCAUAUCGACAAGGGGGUUUACGACCUCGAUGUUGGAUCAGGACAUCCUAAUGGUGCAGCCGCUAUUAAGGGUUCGUUUGUUCAACGAUUAAAGUCCU
rnacentral:rRNA from 2 species